rnacentral:misc_RNA from 1 species
GAUGAAGAACGUAGCGAAAUGCGAUAAGUAAUGUGAAUUGCAGAAUUCAGUGAAUCAUCGAAUCUUUGAACGCACCUUGCGCCCUUUGGCCAUUCCGAAGGGCAUGCCUGUUUGAGUAUCAUGAACACCUCAACUCUUUAUGGUUUUCCAUGAUGAGCUUGGACUCUGGGGGUUUUGCUGGCUCACAGUCGGCUCCUCUAAAAUGAAUCAGCUUACCAGUGUUUGGUGGCACCACAGGUGUGAUAACUAUCUACGCUUGUGGUUUUCUGCCAGGUAACCUCCAGUGAUGGAGGUUCGCUGGAGCUCACAAAUGUCUCUCCUCAGCGAGGACAGCUUUUUGAACGUUUGAUCUCAAAUCAGGUAGGACUACCCGCUGAACUUAAGCAUAUCAAUAAGCGGAGGA